UAGGGAAUCUUCCGCAAUGGACGCAAGUCUGACGGAGCAACGCCGCGUGAACGAAGAAGGUAUUCGUAUCGUAAAGUUCUGUCCUAUGGGAAGAUAAUGACAGUACCAUAGAAGAAAGCUCCGGCUAACUACGUGCCAGCAGCCGCGGUAAUACGUAGGUGGCAAGCGUUGUCCGGAUUUAUUGGGCGUAAAGCGAGCGCAGGCGGUCAAUUAAGUCUGAUGUGAAAGCCCCCGGCUCAACCGGGGAGGGUCAUUGGAAACUGGUUGACUUGAGUGCAGAAGAGGAGAGUGGAAUUCCAUGUGUAGCGGUGAAAUGCGUAGAUAUAUGGAGGAACACCAGUGGCGAAGGCGACUCUCUGGUCUGUAACUGACGCUGAGGCUCGAAAGCGUGGGUAGCAAACAGG
rnacentral:rRNA from 1 species